GUGCUAAAAGCAUGGUGGGAAAGUGACGUGUAAUUCGUCCACAUUACUUGAUACGGUUAUAGUCCGAAUGCCACCUAGCACAAAGUAGAGCAAGGAGACUCAAUGAUUAGAAUAAUUCU
rnacentral:ncRNA from 1 species